UACGUAGGGUGCAAGCGUUGUCCGGAAUUAUUGGGCGUAAAGAGCUCGUAGGCGGUCUGUCGCGUCGGCUGUGAAAACCCGGAGCUCAACUCCGGGCCUGCAGUCGAUACGGGCAGACUGGAGUUCGGCAGGGGAGACUGGAAUUCCUGGUGUAGCGGUGAAAUGCGCAGAUAUCAGGAGGAACACCGGUGGCGAAGGCGGGUCUCUGGGCCGAUACUGACGCUGAGGAGCGAAAGCGUGGGGAGCGAA
rnacentral:rRNA from 1 species